rnacentral:rRNA from 1 species
UUGUUUACAAAGUCUCAAUUCGACCUCAGAUCAAGCGAGAUUACCCGCUGAAUUUAAGCAUAUAACUAAGCGGAGGAAAAGAAACCAAACGGGAUUCUCUGAGUAACGGCGAGCGAAAGGAGAAUAGUCCAGCGCCAAGUCUUGACGUUCAGGCGUUCAAGAGAUGCGGCGUUCAUGUGUUGAUGCAUCGUGCGUUGCUGUAUGUUUCAAGUUCCUUUGACUAGGACUUCCAGAGCGGGUGCUAGGCCCAUAGAGACGAACGGCUGACGUAUGCAGGUCAACACAUUCUAGAGUCAGGUUGCUUGAGAGUGCAGCUUAAAGUCGGUGGUAAACUCCAUCUAAGACUAAAUAUGACAGCGAGACCGAUAGCAAACAAGUACCGUGAGGGAAAGUUGCAAAGCACUUUGAAGAGAGAGUCAAAAAGUACGUGAAACCACUGGUGGGCAAGCAGAUGGAACCACGAAGUUGCGUCUCGGUCGAUUCAAUCGUUUUGUGUUGUCAACGGUGACGGAAGUGGAUCUUUUCGGAGGUCGUUCCGGCGCUUUUCGACGACAUAAAACGGUGCAUUUCGUACCGAGAAUGCUAAGCCACGUUCGACUAGACGAUUGGAACGGCCGUAGGAUAGAACAUGAGGAAGGUGCCCGUCAGAUCUUUGGUCUGGCGGCGUUAUAGUCUCGUGUUGGAACCGUUGCCUAAUGUACUGGUCGAUGAAAAUUCUCCGAUUGGAGUUUUGAACGGUGAUUGCCUGUAGGCGUUAGUCGUUGUUUCGUGGCGUUCUUUGCGUAUCUUUGGGUGCGAAAAGGCGUCUCAACAAUGGCGGCUAGCGUUUGCUUGCGUAUCGCUGUGGAACUGUGGCGCGAGUAGGUCGGUGUCCAUCUGACCCGUCUUGAAACACGGACCAAGGAGCCUAUCAUAUACGCGAGUCGCUCGGUCUUGAAUAGGCCCGAGAGGCGCAAUGAAAGUAAAGCUACGAGGCUUCGGUCGCAGUAGCGGCUCGCCCACUUCGUUUAUCGGCGAUCGGGCGAAGCUGGAGCGUAUACGAUGGUACCCGAAAGAUGGUGAACUAUGC